CAGAUUUCUUUCUCCCUCCUCUACCUCCACACUCUCAGCAUUCAUGGGAAUUAUCAAUUUUUUGCAGUAAUUCUGAUUCGCGAGCUCGCAUUCUGUUGUUUGGUUUUAGUAAUUCGGGUUUUAGCAGCAUUGCAGUUUGUGUAUGUGUUACAGCUGAAUGUCCUUUUUAGUCUGGUUAGUGAAUUUUGUUCAGUCUAGUAACCUAAGGUCUGCUGGUGCUUGUGGAAGAGAAGGUUAGGGACCUUAGGUUUUGCUUGAUUGAAUUGUUCAUGUUCGACGGGGUUGCUCUAGCGUUAGGCCAGCUUUGCGUAUUAUCAGGGUGUUUUCACCGUGUUGGUUCUCCUCUCAAAAAUUUUAUCUCCAAAAUUUGUGACCUUUUCGUCAUUCGUGUUUUUCAUCUCUAGUGAUUUUGUUCCAAGUGAAGAAUCGUAUGGCCAGAACAUGGUUUAGGAAAUUAUAAAUUAAGGGGGAAUGUAGGAGAUAAUUUAGAAUCUAAUAUUUAGGUUAGAUUCGUUUAAUAACACAGUUCAUGUAUUCAGGAUCAUGAGGCGUGAAUGGGCAUAUUCAAAGUACGACGUUCGUGCAUCUUGGGGAGUGUGAAGAUACAUGUAUGGAUUUAAUGUGUAGAGUCCAAGAUGUAUUUAAGUGCCCUAUUGUCAUGACCCAACUCUAGUAAGGGUCACAUGACCGGCUGGUGACAGAAUCACCAAGGCCUCCAAAUGCAUCAUGUAUCAGAGCAUACUAAACAACAUUUAUAGAGAAAUAACGGUAUUAGACAACAUUAAUAUGUUGACAAUGGAGUUUAUAUACAUGGUUGAUUAUAGAGCAUGUUGGAUGCAAAUUACAUGUAAAUAAGUAUACCCCUGACUGGACAGGACAAAUACGGGGGUGCCGGCCGUGUAUUUGGGCUAUUUGAUGAAACCAAGUUUUGGUAGGGUGUUGUAGGGUCCACACGUGGUUGGGGACUAUAAAGAUAAUCAGAGUCACAGAAGAUCUAUUUAUCUUAAUUUCAGUGUACAAUUCUAAUUGUGUAUAUAUAUUGUUUUAAAUUUUAUUUAGAUACCCUUUUAAUGAACUGCUUGUUUUUGAGAAUCGCUUGUCUCUACCCGUCUCCCCAACUCCCCAUGUGCCGCUCUCUGCCUCAACUCUCUCUCCAUUUCCCCCAAAUCUAGUUUCUAUCUCUAAACCUCAACUGCCCAGUUUCAAACGCUCCAGGGUUUCAAGAGUUUCAGCUCAGGUUUGGAGCAAUGAAGAUAAAAAGAACUCCGAUGAUACGGUCGAGGUGGAGGAGGACUUGGCGAUUGACGGAGCUGUUUAUCAGAACACACUGAGGGUGAAGUUAACUGUGUCAAAUGUAAUUCAACGGGUUCAUUACUUGCCCCUUGCUCUGUUGACAACACUGCAAAGGUGAUUUGUCUGAAGCAUAUGUAAUUUGGUUCUCAGGAGAUACAUACCAUGAGGUGUAGUCCUAGUGGACCAGGCACAAACAACCCUAGCCAGUGGUUUCUAUUGGGAAGAUUAUUUGUUUUGACAUUGUUUCCAGUGAAUCAUUUGCCUCAACAGUUAAGCUUCUGAAUGUUGAGCUGAGGAAACUUAUUUGUAGCUUGAAUGGCGGUACGGAACUUACAUGGCUUUUUUCAAGUUUCAUUUCAGAGAGAAUGCAUGUAAAAGUUCGAAUAAUGAUCCGUGAUUAGCAAAUUGGGAUCAUUUGUCACUUUCUUGUUGGCAUAGUAAGCCACUGUUCGGUUUCAAUUUCAUUUUGUACAUCAGAAGUCUAUCAGAAUUUGGCAUGAUUGGUAAUUUUGUUGCGAAGAGAUUUAGAGAUUCUACGUGCAUUAGCUUAGGAUUUACUUUAUUUGAUUGAAAAGUUGUGUGUUUAACUUAUCUGUUGGGUGGUUCUCAUUUCUUUGAAGACGUCACAUGCUAGUUGCUACUAUGCACGUGAUUUUUUGUUUUUUGAUGUUUCGAAGAAGCGAAUGAGAAGGUGAGAACUCGAAUGGGAUUAGGGUUUCUCUCAUAUUCAUAGUAAAUCAUGCCAUUAGACCUAGGGCUGCAUUAAUAGGUCUCUGAAUUGUAGGAAAAUCCACUCCAGUAUCAUCAUCUCUAUUUUUAUUUAUUGCUAGAUUGUAAUUAGCUGUCCAAAAUAUCUUUACCAGGGUGCUAUUGUUCCAGAUUUUCUUAAUUCAUGCAAAUGUCAGCAAUACUAUUUUUUUCUUUUAUGACAUGGAGCAGUUUCAUUCAUGAGCCCAACGACACGAAAAGGUAUUUCAGCACCAAGACAAAUUAGACAAUGGCGAAAUCCUACACAACCAAUCUAAUCAUAUAACAUAAACUACAGAACCAUGGCAUUGUAACACCUAUGCCUUUUAACUUGGGGCGAGCUUCAUGCUCUCUUGGCACAUGCUGCAUUGCUUCAUAACUCAUUAAGUUUCACGGCAAACUAACAACCAGUUUCGGUAUGGUGACUGUCUAAGAUAAAAGGCAACAUGUCACCCCAAAGUUUGGUUAGACUCUAUAACCAAAGUGAAAGAAAGCAUCAAUAAAUCCACAACAAAUGAAUAAAGACAAAAAUAGAAGUAGAAAAAACUCUCUUAAACCAACCGAACUCUCCAUUGAGAUUCCCCAAAAGCGCCAGGAUUUCUCAGAUUUUCUCUCCUCCAUGAAAGAGGCAGUCUGAAACCCUAGGCGAAUGUAGAAAAAAAUGGGUGAUAAAAUAAUCCUUUUUUGGAAAUGCAAUACUAGAAUGAUGAAACCCAAUUAUGCCAAUACUGGAAUGACGAUAUCCAAACAAAUACUUCUGUUGCAUGCAUGUUGUAUUUGAUUGAAUCCAAUUUUCCAGCAUUCAUUUGAUUCGUGGAUGUUGCAACAGUCAUAUGUCCAGAAUAGAGAGUUACUGUGAUGCUUAUGAAUUCUGAACUAUGUUUUCGUACAAUGGUUCGCGUGAUGACCCUCGGUCAUUGUAACUGCUUAUGAUUGAAUAUUUGUUGAUAUUUCCUUACAGAUAAUCCCUCUCUUUCUUGUGAAAUCAUUCUUGCACUGAUUGGAGUUUACGUAAAUGAAAUUACCAGCGAUCCUGUGUAUUCCGUUGCUUUUAGCACCAAUGGUGAGUAUUUAGUCAGUGGAUCUCUUGAUAAAGCCGUGCACUAUUGGUCUUUGAAAGAGCACAAGAUCGUGAAAACCUGCACCAGCAAUGGGGGUAUUUUUGAAGUCUUCUGGUAUAAGCAGGGGGACAAGAUAGCUGCCUCUUUUGCUGACAACACUCUGGGCUUGUUCGUUUGGGGUACUCAAAAUCCCUGCGCACGGUCCCCAAUAAAUUUUCUCUGACAUUAGAUUGUAGGGACUUGAAACUUUCUCUACUGCAUUGGAUGUUGGGGAUUCUAUUUCCGUUGUGAAUAAAGGUGUUUGACUAAUUUUAUUUGGGAUAAUAACUUCGGCAUUCAUAUUUCUAACUUUAAAA